AACGAACGCUGGCGGCAGGCUUAACACAUGCAAGUCGAACGGGUGCAGCAAUGCAUCAGUGGCAGACGGGUGAGUAACACGUGGGAACCUUCCUAGGGGUACGGAACAACUCAGGGAAACUUGAGCUAAUACCGUAUACGUCCGUAAGGAGAAAGAUUCAUCGCCCCUAGACGGGCCCGCGUCGGAUUAGGUAGUUGGGUGGGGUAACGGCCUACCAAGCCUACGAUCCGUAGCUGANCUGAGAGGAUGAUCAGCCACACUGGGACUGAGACACGGCCCAGACUCCUACGGGAGGCAGCAGUGGGGAAUCUUGGACAAUGGGCGCAAGCC
rnacentral:rRNA from 1 species